AGCAGCCGCGGUAAUUCCAGCUCCAAUAGCGUAUAUUAAAGUUGUUGCAGUUAAAAAGCUCGUAGUUGAAUUUCGGGAUCAAUAUAUCGGUCGUGCCUUGGUACGUACUGGUAUCAUUGGUUUCUCCUUUCUGACGAACCAUGAUGUCAUUAAUUUGGUGUUAUGGGAAGUUAGGACUGUUACUUUGAAAAAAUUGAGUGUUUAAAGCAGGCUUUAGCUUGAAUACAUUAGCAUGGAGUAAUGAAAUAGGACGUUUGAUCCUAUUUUGUUGGUUUCUAGGAUUGACGUAAUGAUUAAUAGGGAUAGUUGGGGGCAUUAGUAUUCAAUUGUCAGAGGUGAAAUUCUUGGAUUUAUUGAAGACUAACUACUGCGAAAGCAUUUGCCAAGGNUGUUUUCAUUAAUCAAGAACGAAGUUAGGGAUCGAAGACGAUCAGAUACCGUCGUAGUCUUAACCAUAAACUAUGCCGACUAGGGAUCGGAUGAUGUUAAUUUUUAUGACUUCUAUCGGCGCCUUACGGGA
rnacentral:rRNA from 1 species